UAUGACGACAUUAUAUAUAUAUAUGAUUAAACAAAACACAAUGUGCACUGCUUCAUUUAAAGCAGGCAUUAGGUCCAGUACAGUCUAUAGGGCCUAUGUGAAAUAGAAUUUACGUUACCAAAUCAGGGCCAAAAUGGGCAUAAACAUGUAACAUAUAUAUUCAGGUCCAUUCCAAAGACUAUUUCUACCUACGUAGCUAUUAAUAGCUACCUAGGUAUUUAAAGCUACUUAAAGUAGCUAGUUUUACCUACUUUUACAUGUUUUUAAAGAUAUAAAUAAAUAAUAAUUAAGGCACAUCUUUUAAACAGGUCAGUCGUUUUAUGUAUCAUGUUGUACAUGUGCAUGACAAAAUUCGGAGUGUAAAUUUAAAUGCUUUACGAGGGUGGAAAAUGUAGAGAAAAUUGCAUGAAAAAUCGACUCAAAAACUUUUAAUGUAAGAGUGCAUGAAUGUUAACUUUAAAAUUAAUAAAGAUUUGUAAAACAUUCUAGACUUCUUAUCAUGUAUCUUUGAUCCUAAGUUCCUAGAGAAUGGAAGUGGGUGCAGUUAUUGAUGCAAAUUUGAAAGUAAUCAUUUUUUGUCCAAUAUUUUUGUGGUAUUCAUUGUCAGUAUAAGUGAAUCAAGAAAUUUGGUACACACCAUGUUGCGCUGUUCCUGCGUUUGGCCACAAAAUGCAAGUAAAGGAAAAUGUAGGUAAAAAUAGCUACCUGGAGUAGGUUUAAAUACCUAGGUAGCUAUAAGUAGCUACAUAGGUAGAAAUAGUCUUUGGACUGGACCUGAUAAUUAUUGAUAUAAAAUAUAGAUAAUGACAAUACACAGUGAAAAGUAAUAGAUUAGCUAUAAUAUUAUAGGUAUUUGAAAUGGCUUUAUUAUUUAAAGCUAGUUUAAAUUGAAUUAGUCUGGGUUUCUGAGUGCAAUGGUAUAGCCAUAUGUGGGUUAAUGGGAACAGGAUAAUUUUCCAUGCCUUUCACUUGAGGUCUUCAGUUUCAUCAUUAAUCAUCUGAAUGUCGGUAUGCCAAACUCUCAUGAUGUCAUGCCAUUACUGGAUAUUCCUUAACACUGGUUUAUUUAAACCACACUACCUAUAACAUUGCCAAAUAUUAGACUGAAAAUUUUCAAAUACACAAGAUUUGAAGCAGCAAAAGAAAAGAAUUACAUAUGUAUAACACACAAAAAAGAAGAAAUUAAUUCUCACCUGGCUGAUAUGAACUUUUUACUCCUUUUUAGCUCCCUUUCACUGCAUACCAGCCAAUAACUAGCAGUCAUUAUAUGCAGAUCAGCCAUUGUUAUCAACCUGUGUAUAUAUAUGUUGAAUAAAAUAUGAAUGAAAA